CUCAUCGAUUUACUUGUAUAUAGUCAUAGUAUAUUAUGAAUACAAAAUAUACCUCAUAAAUUUAAUUUGUUUGUAUUGUACUUUCACUUGAAAUCAACGUUUUACUUUAACAGACCACUGGAUUUUUUCCCCUUUUUUUCAUGUUUUGUAUGAUUAUACCAAAGAGGAGAAUAUUUUAUUAACACACAUCUACCUCAUUUGUUACAGACUGUGCCAAUCAGCAUGUCCACAAUCUUAAUUGCUUGUAUAUUCACGAUGUUUCAUAUCCAUGUAUUUUGUGAACACAAAAUGCUUUUCAGUCAAAAAAAACAAAAAACAAAAAAAACAAAACCAAAAAACCCCCCCAAAAAACCCUGUAGAACCCAGUGGUAAGGUUUAAAAAUGUUGAAAGUACUUUUACAUUGGGUGUGGUGUGGUGCUGGCAACACAGCCUAGAGACAGCCAGUCAUCAAAAUGAAUCCAACUUUCAUAAAAACGUGAAUAGCUUGUAGCAUUGAAUGGCCAUCACUUGUGAGUGUUUUCUUGUUAGCAGUGGGGAUGGAGGAUGGUGGGGUGAGUCCACAGUCUUAGAGAUUUCCUGCCAUAAAUUAAGUUUGAUUUAAGACACAGAAGUACACAUAGCUGAUCUUAUAAAGGUAUUGACUUUAGGUAUUUGUGUGGUGAUGUUUUAGCAGAUUUCUCUGCUAGAUUCCAAGGUGCAGUUGAAAAGCUAUGGUGUCUUGAACCCUUGAGGGAACCUCUGAGUACUUACUGUCACUCAUACUGUUUCUAGAUUUGGGCCCAACAGACAAACCAAUGAACCAAUGUAUCAGCCAACAUUAUCACCUAGUAUAUUGGCUGACGUAACAAGAAAUGUCAAAGAUGUGUUAGAGGACAUUUAGAAAGAGUUUUCUAUUAGGAAUACAUUUUUGGUAGAGAAUAAACAGAAUUGCAGUUCUCAAUAUUCAGUCCUACUUGAUUUGACAAUUUCACUUGGUCCACAUCUUGUUUCAAAUAUUUCCCCUUCUGGGAGUCGUAGAGAUUUUUCUGACUCACAACCCUUGAACUCUCGAGCAACACCCUUAGGUGCACAAAAUUAUAUCAGUGGGUAGGUCAAGAUUAAUUUAUUGUACAUACUCGUGUUCUUGGGACAUCCAUGAAUCAAUAUAAUACUUUUGGUUUUUAAUGACCUUUUGUUUAAUGCCACCAUCCGCCAUCAAGCAACAGAAAAAGGCAAACAUUUGUAGUUUGAAUACUGAUAAAACAUCAGAGAACAGCCUGUUUGUGUGCUUUUGGCUGUCUGCCUCACUGUGCAGGAUUAUUCAUGCAGAUUGCUCACAGUCCUUGAUUUAAAAUGCCACAACUAAUUCAGUCUCAUGAUGACUGUAAUGUACAAGGUUGAGUACUGUUCAAGCCAAUGAUAUAUUGUAAGUGGAUGUAUAGAUGGUAAUGUUGAAAUUUUACAAACACAAUCGUGCAGCAGAGGACAAUCGUCAGCCAAUAAGAUGAGCUGACCUAUCAACUGUUAGCUGAGCUGUUAGAAGUGGUUCUGCUGUUUGUGUGUUCACUUGAAAUGUGUUCUUUAGCAAUCAGACUGUUGUGCAGGUAGAUGCAGCAAAGGUCCAAAAAAGAAAGUCCUUUUUAUACAUGCACUUAAUGUUUCAUCUUUGAUUACUGAAAAUGAUAUCAAUAUCAGUAGACUUUUGUUAAAGUUGCUGGACUAGAUAGACCUCCCUAGUUUGAAAAAAUGUAGAGCAUUGUUCCAGCCCUUUUGAUGUUUAUAUUGUCCUCACAAAGCUUGGUCACUUCAGAACUCAGAUAACCACAUAUGUCUUUCUCAGAUAUUUGCACAUGCGUAUUUAUCCUACCUUAACAGAGUUGCUAAUUGGAAGAAGUUAUUUUAGGCACAGAGGGCCCUGGAAGUACGUCUAGUACAUUUUCUCUCAGACGAUGUUUGAUAUAUCACAGUUGAAGCUCAUCAAGAUACGAAAGUCUGUCAGUAUCCAAUUUUUUCCUAAUUCUGACUAUAACCAAUAAGUUUUUUAAACCACUCCCCUAUUUAAAAAUGAAGAUGACAAGAAUUUGAUUAUUUAUUAAUAACUAUGGUAUAGUUUGGGAAGGCACUGACAAAAAUGCCCAUCAGGGCAUAAGGGUAAGAAAAUUACUUAUAUGGACUGUUUUAGCUGACAGUGACAAAUGAUCUGUUUUUAAAUUUAGCUACAAAAAAAACUUCACACCUCUGAUUACUCCAUAGCAACAGCACCUGAGACCCAAGGGUGCUGUAGUCGUUAUGUCCACCUACCAACCAAACUGUCAAACAAAGUUGCUGUAAUUCCAACUGAUGGCCAUAACACCAACCUGAAGGACCAUUAAAUUGUCCAGAAAGCUCUGUUGUUUCUGUGUUGUCAGCAAUGAGGAGAUCAUUGAAAGAAAGCUGGGGAUAAAUUACUUUCUGAACUGGCUGCUUCUCCCACUUCACAACUCUGUAGCACACACUUUAUAAGAAGUGUCACAUGGGUGAAUGUGGAGUAAUGUCUUUGGUUCAAUUCGUCAUUUACCACGCUGGUAAAUUUUAACAACCUCACUAGCAGCAGGCAAUUUUCUUAGAGAUUUUUAAGGUGUCAAACAGUAGAAGUCUGGAGUACGAAAAUCAUGACUUUUACCAAGAAGCGUGUCUUCCACUACUGUCUCUAAUAACAUCAGGUAAGGAAGAAAAGACCCAAAUGCUGGAUAGCAUAGGCAGGUAGUCCAUCAUCCAUCUCAGCUUUUUAAAAAUCCCUUUACAAAAAUGUUACGUUCAUGCUAAGAAGUUGCCAUUACCUUUUUGCAACACAUGCCACAAAUUUGCUGCAUUGUCAAAUUUCCAUAUGCAAAUUAGGUUUGUGGCUAACUUGCGGAGGACUUCUUCCAUUUAUCAGUUAUACACACUCACAGGGGGUCUAUCACAACUGACAUUGGGCAAGAGGUAAAGUACACCCUGGACAGAUGGACAGUCCACUGUAGAGCAAAAACAUUCCCAUGCAUGUCCACGCAAAGAACAUGCUGCAAGCAGUAAAAUCACAGCAAACCUGCCACACAUUUCCCAUAAAGUCAGAAGUUCACCACAAGUUUGUCACAAAUCUAAUUUACAUAUAAGAAUGUGACCUUGCUGCAAAUUUGCAACACAAGGUUAACCAUGGGAGGCUAUUGUUGACUAUGGCAAACAUAAACUGCAAUUUUUUUACCAUUGGGUUACUAGAAGUUAAAUAUGGUGACAAAUGUGGUGGACAUGUUUUCCAGGCAAAUUUCUCAAUACAAAACACAAAGAAAAGAAGGACGGUCAAAUUACUUUUAGCGUAAACACUGUCUGGUAACUGAGUAGUACGCUGCUAAGAGUAUAUAUACAGAGACGACGGAUUGGAUGAUUGAACUCAGAUAAUCACAGAGUCAAUACAAAUAUUCAGUCAGUGAGAGAGGAAGCAAGCUUUGAUUUUGUGUCUAAUGAUGAAUGAAUGAAACUUAAAUGGAAGAGAACUUUCUUUGCCAGUGUAUAUAUCAUGUUGUGUUUUUUUCUUUACACAUGCCUAACAAAACCUUUUCACCUUUGAAGUUGCUACGGAGUUUGCCUCCCACCUAAUGAGUUUGUUUGUUUGAUUGUUUUUUAAUUCACUGUAAUGGGACUAAUAGAAGAAAUUUUACAAAUCUGAAAUUCAGAAAUUUCUGUGAGACUGCUAUUGAGGAUUAUGUAGAAUGAUGACUAUGGUCCAUUCAAGACAGGAUAUAUUUUCUGCUUUCAUAGUCCAGAUGUUCCUGAUAAGGCAGCCCAGUCUCAGCUUAACUGUCUCUUUCUUAGCCCCUCCUCCUGUACUAAAUGCGGCCAAUCACUGAACACUUCAUGUAACAUGCAUGGGAUCACCAAAGAGCUUUUCUAGCUGUGACCACACACUUCAUUUCUAGGUCAUAAUCAAUUACAGAUCAAAAUAAGCAAAAUAAAGGUGACAGGUCUAAAUGGGAAAAAAAUGAAAUGGCUUAUGUAAUCAACAAACAUAUGUUUACUUUGUAUUUUGGCUAUGCUAUGCUAGUAGUUUUUAGACACUAAUUGCUUUAUUAACUGUGUGUGUGAAGCUGUAGAUGUUUCUUUUAUUUCCCUUUUGUUGGAUGAAUCCAGUGCAUUAUGGGAAUGCUGGAUUGUGGUGCUCAGGGGUUCACAAUGUACAAAAAAAGAGAUGAAAGAGGUCUUUUGCCAUUUGACUUGUAACGUAUUUAGAAAUAAAAUCAUGCU
ensembl:lncRNA